GGCUCUAUACUUUAAGGCAAAAGAUUUGAUUUGCAAUCAACUAUUGAGGUACACUCUAGAGCCC
rnacentral:tRNA from 1 species